rnacentral:rRNA from 1 species
UACGUAGGGGGCAAGCGUUGUCCGGAAUCAUUGGGCGUAAAGAGCGUGUAGGCGGCCAGAAAAGUCCGCUGUGAAAACUCGAGGCUCAACUUCGAGCUGUCGGUGGAAACUUUCUGGCUAGAGUCCGGAAGAGGAGAAUGGAAUUCCUGGUGUAGCGGUGAAAUGCGUAGAUAUCAGGAGGAACACCGGUGGUGUAGACGGCUUUCUGGACCAUAGCUGACGCUGAGACACGAAAGCGUGGGUAGCAAACAGG